GGCUUUAGUUUAACUGUUUUGAAAGCAGUUAAUAAGAAUUUUUCUUUAAAGUCU
rnacentral:tRNA from 1 species